GAUAACAAAUGUAAAACGCUUUCAAAUGUGGGAGACUUUGAGAGUGCUAUUCUUGAUUGAAAAGGGGUAUGAAGAUGGGAACAAUCAUUUGUCAACACUGCAACUCUACUAUUGGUCAUAUUGAAGGGGAAAAAGUGACAACACUUUAUGGUCAAUGUAAUCAUCAUAACUGUGGUGAUCAAAAGCAAUCAAGAGUAUCUGUUAA
rnacentral:sRNA from 1 species